GGCGGCGUGCCUAACACAUGCAAGUCGAACGAGAAAGGGUAGCAAUACCUGAGUAAAGUGGCGCACGGGUGAGUAACACGUGACUAACCUACCCUGGAGUGGGGGAUAACCGAGGGAAACCUCAGCUAAUACCGCAUAAUACCCACGGGUCAAAGGAGCAAUUCGCUUCAGGAGGGGGUCGCGGCCGAUUAGUUAGUUGGCGGGGUAAUGGUCCACCAAGACUGUGAUCGGUACCCGGCCUGAGAGGGCGCACGGACACACUGGAACUGAAACACGGUCCAGACUCCUACGGGAGGCAGNANUGGGGAAUUUCGCGCAAUGGGGGAAACCCUGANGCAUCAACGCCGCGUGGAGGAUCAAAUACUUCGGUACGUAANCUCCUUNCGAUCGGGACGAUGU
rnacentral:rRNA from 1 species